GGGCGUAUAGCUCAGUGGUAGAGCACUACGUUGACAUCGUAGGGGUCCCAAGUUCGAACCUUGGUACGCCCACCA
rnacentral:tRNA from 1 species